rnacentral:tRNA from 1 species
UCGGGUGAAGCUCAGUGGUACAGCACUUGCUUAGAAUGUGUGAGGCCCUGGGUUCAAUCCCCAGCCAUCCAAA